CAAAACUGUUAUUUAUUUUAAAGCUUAUUCAUUUUUAUUUAUUAAAAAAAGCCAAGCUUGUUGUGCAAUAUUUAGUUUUUUUUUUUUAUAUAUUGUACCUUUAAAGUUAAUUUGUUAAGGUUAUUAGACUCUGUGGUUUAUACCUUUUAAUUUUAAUUUCAUUUUUAAUUAUUUAUUUUUUUAUUAUUGUUUUAAUUUAUUUUGGAAUAGUUAUCCUCUUUGCUAUAAAGCUUUUUUGGCACAAAAAUAAACAAUAAACAACAAUUCAAAAGUAUGUACACUGUUUCUAAUGUUUAUAAAGUGUCAUAUGUUAUAAAAGUAUAGUUCACACCAGGGGCGAGGCUACACAAGGGCCAGGGCGGCACUGCCCACCCAAUCAGAACAGACAUUAAAAAAAAGUGGGAAAGCAGAAAAAAUGCAUAUGUGACAAUACUAAUCACUUAAACACGUACAAGAAGUUUCAUAACAAAAUAAUUACUGAAGAUGCCUUGAACCAAGACAACUUUUUAGAUUCACGUGCACUGUAGUUCUCAUCGCCUAAAUUUGGUUCUGGCAUCGGCAUCAAAAGUUUCCAUUCAAGUAAGCACAUUUUCUGAUACACUGAAUUCUUUACAUGCAUUCAUGACGGGAAGCAUCCGACACAACUUCAUCCAAGUCGACAUUGUCUUGAGCUUGAACAUUGACAUUCGAUGGAGCUCUAAAUCAGGAUCUGUAAGCAAGGUGCUUAUUUUAUUUGAUUGUAUUUUAGAAUUACUUGCUGAAUGCACUGGAAGUAGCCACAGCCAUCACACGGUCUUCUACAACAGAUCCAAACGAAGAGGUUUGUUUUUUUGUUAGUCACAUUUGGGAAACUUUUUGAGUGCAGUGUCUUUGCCACAAAAGGACUGCAAAGCCGACUCAAUUCGGUCAUCAAUGGCAACUUCUCGCCUAAAGCACCUCGUCGUUCUCUCUCACGAGUGUGAGAUUACUGAGUCUGGAUUAUGAUGAAAUCAUUGCGAGUUACAACGCAAAGCCAAGGCGUCUACGGUUUGUUUAAGAUGACUUGUUUGGGCUCCGAAAAAAAUCUUAUUUGUAAGACAACAUUUAUUUCCAUAAUCGGAGAGUGUUUAUUUGUGUUAGAAAUUUCUUAUGGAUAUUAGAUCUUAAUGUAGAUGAAUUUAAAAGUAAAUUUGGGGAUCUUUGGGGAUGCUGCUGGUGCUGUACUGCAUAUUCACAUUUACCUUCACUCUCUCUCUCUCCCUCACUCACUCUCUCUCCCUCACUCACUCACUCUCUCUCUCUCUGUCUCUCUCCCUCACUCACUCUCUCUCUCUCCCUCACUCACUCUCUCUCCCUCACUCACUCACUCUCUCUCUCUCUGUCUCUCUCCCUCACUCACUCUCUCUCUCUCCCUCACUCACUCUCUCUCUCUGUCUCUCUCUCUCCCUCACUCACUCUCUCUCUCCCUCACUCACUCACUCUCUCUCUCUCCCUCACUCACU
ensembl:lncRNA